AAAGGGAGACCUAAUUCAGGUAUAAGACGAAAAAAAAGUAGUCCCUACCAAGAAUCAAUCCCAAAAGGUCGGAACGAGGUAUGAGGCUUUCAAACUAGGUUCUGGGUUCAUAAAAGACCUGAAUCAGGAACAAGGGCUAUUAGCUCAGGUGGUUAGAGCGCACCCCUGAUAAGGGUGAGGUCCCUGGUUCGAGUCCAGGAUGGCCCACCUGCACAGGUGGCAAAAACAAGAGAAGCGAGGAAUCAGCACCUUAUCUUAUAUACAUAUAUAAGAGAGAAUGCUGGCUCUGAGUACAGAGUCCAGAGGAACCUUGAAAACUGCAUAGAGCUAGGUGGAAAAGCCAAAAAAGAAGACCGCAAG
rnacentral:tRNA from 1 species